AAAAAAACAAACCCUGGGUUUUCGUGUCCAACGUUUGACCGUCCGUCUUAUUUGAAAAAAUUAUAAAAAAAAAUAAAAAGACAAGUCACGCAUAAAGUAUUAAUCAUAUUUUAUCAUCUAACAACAAUGAAAAUACUAAUUAUAAAAAAGUUUCAUAUAAGACGGACAGUCAAACGUUGGACACAGAAACUCAGAGUUUGUCUUUUU
rfam:Oryza glaberrima chromosome 7 Oglab07_0006_2, whole genome shotgun sequence.